GAAGUUGGUUAGACAAUCGCACUAAAAUAAUAUUUUAGUGAGGAAAGUCCGGGCUCCAUAGGGUAUAGUGCCAGGUAACGCCUGGGAAGUGAAAGCUUACGGAAAGUGCCACAGAAAAUAUACCGCCUGAUGAUUCAGGUAAGGGUGAAAUGGUGCGGUAAGAGCGCACCGCGCGUCUGGCAACAGGCGUGGCAGGGAAAACCCCACUCGGAGCAAGACCAAAUAGAGAUCCAGGCAAUGUUUCAUUGCCAUACAUGACCCGUGUAGGAUCUGGGUAGGUUGCUUGAGGCAAACGGUGACGUUUGUCCCAGAUGAAUGAUUGUCCACGACAGAACCCGGCUUAUCGACCAACUUCUUUC
rnacentral:RNase_P_RNA from 1 species